GCGUCAGUCUAGAUACUACGCCACUUGUGGUGAGGAAAGUCCUGGCACGAAAAACUGGCUAUCAUCUAACGGAUGUUGGAACUCUGCGUUAUGCAGGCAAACGAAAGUGCCACAGAGAUUAAACUAUCCCAUUAGGGAGAAAGGUGAAACAGUAGGGUAGUGAAACUUACCUACACUCAAUCGGUCCGAUGGGCUGAUGAGCGGUAAACCGUAGCUCGUGCAAGCUUAUCAAGCUCGACUUGAAAGUGCAAAUGAUCGCUAUAAGUGAUCUUAGAUAAAUAGUAUCUCAAUACAGAACCAGGCUUAUUGGAUUGACAAAAUA
rnacentral:RNase_P_RNA from 1 species